CUUAAUUGACUGAGCGGCGGACGGGUGAGUAACGCGUGGGUGACCUGCCCCAUACCGGGGGAUAACAGCUGGAAACGGCUGCUAAUACCGCAUAAGCGCACAGAGCUGCAUGGCUCAGUGUGAAAAACUCCGGUGGUAUGGGAUGGGCCCGCGUCUGAUUAGGCAGUUGGCGGGGUAACGGCCCACCAAACCGACGAUCAGUAGCCGGCCUGAGAGGGCGACCGGCCACAUUGGGACUGAGACACGGCCCAAACUCCUACGGGAGGCAGCAGUGGGGAAUAUUGCACAAUGGGGGAAACCCUGAUGCAGCGACGCCGCGUGAGCGAAGAAGUAUUUCGGUAUGUAAAGCUCUAUCAGCAGGGAAGAUAAUGACGGUACCCAACAAGGAAGUGACGGCUAACUACGUGCCAGCAGCCGCGGUAAAACGUAGGUCACAAGCGUUGUCCGGAAUUACUGGGUGUAAAGGGAGCGCAGGCGGGAAGACAAGUUGGAAGUGAAAUCUAUGGGCUCAACCCAUAAACUGCUUUCAAAACUGUUUUUCUUGAGUAGUGCAGAGGUAGGCGGAAUUCCCGGUGUAGCGGUGGAAUGCGUAGAUAUCGGGAGGAACACCAGUGGCGAAGGCGGCCUACUGGGCACCAACUGACGCUGAGGCUCGAAAGUGUGGGUAGCAAACAGGAUUAGAUACCCUGGUAGUCCACACCGUAAACGAUUGAUUACUAGGUGUUGGAGGAUUGACCCCCUUCAGUGCCGCAGUUAACACAAUAAGUAAUCCACCUGGGGAGUACGACCGCAAGGUUGAAACUCAAAGGAAUUGACGGGGGCCCGCACAAGCAGUGGAGUAUGUGGUUUAAUUCGACGCAACGCGAAGAACCUUACCAAGUCUUGACAUCCCUUGACAGACAUAGAAAUAUGUAAUCUCUUCGGAGCAAGGAGACAGGUGGUGCAUGGUUGUCGUCAGCUCGUGUCGUGAGAUGUUGGGUUAAGUCCCGCAACGAGCGCAACCCUUAUGGUCAGUUACUACGCAAGAGGACUCUGGCCGGACUGCCGUUGACAAAACGGAGGAAGGCGGGGACGACGUCAAAUCAUCAUGCCCCUUAUGUCCUGGGCCACACACGUACUACAAUGGUGGUUAACAGAGGGAGGCAAUACCGCGAGGUGGAGCAAACCCCUAAAAGCCAUCCCAGUUCGGAUUGCAGGCUGCAACCCGCCUGCAUGAAGUUGGAAUCGCUAGUAAUCGCGGAUCAGCAUGCCGCGGUGAAUACGUUCCCGGGCCUUGUACUCACAAGCCGUCA
rnacentral:rRNA from 1 species